rnacentral:pre_miRNA from 12 species
CUGGACCCGUGGAAGAGGAUUCUUCCAGGGCAGCAUACCUUUUGCUAUUUUGUACUUGGAAGAACACGAGGAACUAAAAAAAAGAAAUGUUAUUGCU